ACUCCUCGGCUGUGCAGCAGGCCCGAGGACUGGAUGUCAGCAGAAUGGAGGCCGACAUUAGAUGGUUUGAAAGGAUGACUCCAUGUUUUGAACAUCAAAUACUAUACUGGUUUGGAGAAAAUCCAGAGACAUGAGGCAGUCGGGUGGUGCUGAAAGAGGUGCACUUCAGUUGCAUAGACCUUUCUACAACACCAGAGCAGAUGGUGCUCACAUCCGUUGAUCUGGUUCAGAAGAUUGGAUCAUUACAGGAACGGGAAUGUCCGGCAGUACAAAAGGCAACAUGAAGACAUGAAACCUUGCUGUCAAGAACCAUCACAUCCCUGGUGAGAGCAGUUGGUAUCAUGGUGGUCUGGAGCACAAGAUGUCGCACUAGCAUGGUGAUGCCUCCUCACUUGGCGGCUGAUUUAGAAGGGAAGAUACAAGAUGAACUGAGGAAGGAGCUGAUCUCAGACACUGAUCUUGGAUGCAGAGGUGAAGCCUGGCCUUGAAGCACUUCAAGUGAUUUGCUGUUUGGAUGGAGACCUGAGGGCCUGUGGACAACCAACAGUGUCAAUAUUGUACAACAUUGUCAAUAAAUACUGAAAAGAAA